GACGAACGCUGGCGGCGUGCUUAACACAUGCAAGUCGAACGGAAAGGCCCCUUCGGGGGUCCUCGAGUGGCGAACAGGUGCGUAACACGUGGGUAACCUGCCCUUGACUUCGGGAUAACUUCAGGAAACUGGGGCUAAUACCGGAUAGGAAUCCUUGCUGCAUGGUGGGGGUUGGAAAGCUUCUGCGGUUUUGGAUGGACUCGCGGCUUAUCAGCUUGUUGGUGGGUUAGUGGCUUACCAAGGCUUUGACGGGUAGCCGGCCUGAGGGGGCGACCGGCCACAUUGAGACUGAGAGACGGCCCAGGCGCCUACGGGUGGAAGCAGUGGGGAAGAUUGAACAAUGGGCGGCGGGCUGAUGCAGAAGGGCCGCGGGCGGGAUGACGGCCUUGGGGUGGUAAAACGCCAUCAGGUGGAGACAAGGUUGUGGUGACGGUACCUGAAGAAGAAGCACCGGCUAACUACGUG
rnacentral:rRNA from 1 species